rnacentral:ncRNA from 2 species
CUUCACGAGAUGCGGCGCCAAGCUCCGACUGGCCGCACACCAACCCGCAGUUCAUGGGUGGUUCGGAUGAGGAAGCGGCCCCCGCCAUGAGGCUGGGGCAAGAGCUAGUG